ensembl:Mt_tRNA
AUUCUUGUAGUUGAAUGACAACGGUGGUUUUUCAAGCCAUUAGUCUGGGUUCAAAUCCCGGCAGGAAUA